rnacentral:rRNA from 1 species
GAUGAGUGGCGAACGGGUGAGUAACACGUGAGUAACCUGCCCCCUUCUUUGGGAUAACGCCCGGAAACGGGUGCUAAUACUGGAUAUUCACUGAUCUUCGCAUGGGGGUUGGUGGAAAGGUUUGUUCUGGUGGGGGAUGGGCUCGCGGCCUAUCAGCUUGUUGGUGGGGUGAUGGCCUACCAAGGCUUUGACGGGUAGCCGACCUGAGAGGGUGAUCGGCCACACUGGGACUGAGACACGGCCCAGACUCC